GUGCUCGCUUCAGCAGCGCAUAUACUAAAACUGGAACGCUACAGAGAUUAGCAUGGCCCCUGUGCAAGGAUGACACGCAAAUUCGUGAAGUAUUCCAUAUAAAA
rnacentral:snRNA from 1 species